GCUCAGGACGAACGCUGGCGGCGCGCUUAACACAUGCAAGUCGAGCGAGAACCCAGGCUUCGGCCUGGGGGAAAGCGGCGAACGGGUGAGUAACACGUGGGUAAUCUGCCCUCGACAUCGGGAUAGCCCGGGGAAACCCGGAUUAAUACCGAAUGGCCCAUCAGCUUUUCGAAGCAGAUGAAAAAGGUAGCUUCGGCCUCCGGUCGAGGAGGAGCCCGCGGCGGAUUAGCUUGUUGGUGGGGUAACGGCCUACCAAGGCUCCGAUCCGUAGCUGGUCUGAGAGGACGAUCAGCCACACUGGGACUGAGACACGGCCCAGACUCCUACGGGAGGCAGCAGUGGGGAAUCUUGCGCAAUGGGCGAAAGCCUGACGCAGCGACGCCGCGUGAGGGAAGAAGGCCUUCGGGUUGUAAACCUCUUUCAGGAGGGACGAAGCUACUCGGGUUAAUAGCCCAGAGGGUGACGGUACCUCCAGAAGAAGCCCCGGCUAACUACGUGCCAGCAGCCGCGGUAAUACGUAGGGGGCUAGCGUUGUCCGGAUUUAUUGGGCGUAAAGAGCGUGUAGGCGGCCAGGUAGGUCUGCUGUGAAAACUCGAGGCUCAACCUCGAGACGUCGGCGGAAACCAUCUGGCUAGAGUCCGGAAGAGGAGAGUGGAAUUCCUGGUGUAGCGGUGAAAUGCGCAGAUAUCAGGAAGAACACCCGUGGCGAAGGCGGCUCUCUGGGACGGUACUGACGCUGAGACGCGAAAGCGUGGGGAGCGAACAGGAUUAGAUACCCUGGUAGUCCACGCCGUAAACGAUGGGUGCUAGGUGUGGGCGGUGUCGACUCCGUCCGUGCCGAAGCUAACGCAUUAAGCACCCCGCCUGGGGAGUACGGGCCGCAGGCUAAAACU
rnacentral:rRNA from 1 species